UAGUCUGAUGCCAAGAUACCUGAUGGCCAGGCUGGCCAUGAGAAGACGAUGACCACACUUCUCCCCGCUUUUGCAGGUGCUAACACCCUGUACGGUGCAG
rfam:Methanolobus psychrophilus R15, complete genome.